rnacentral:rRNA from 1 species
AGUAGUUUGAUCAGUGGCUCGAGGACGACGCUGGCGGCGUGCUUAACACAUGCAAGUCGAACGGGACUUUUUGGAGCUUGCUCUAAAAAGUCUAGUGGCAAACGGGUGAGUAACGCGUAGACAACCUGCCAUAAAGAUUGGGACAACAGCUCGAAAGAGCUGCUAAUACCAAAUGUUGCUAUUAAUUCGCAUGAGGGAAUAGUUAAAGAUGGCCUCUAUUUAUAAGCUAUCGCUUUAUGAUGGGUCUGCGUCCGAUUAGCUGGUUGGGGAGGUAACGGCUCACCAAGGCGACGAUCGGUAGCCGAUCUGAGAGGAUGACCGGCCACAUUGGGACUGAGACACGGCCCAGACUCC